UACGAAGGGGGCUAGCGUUGUUCGGAAUUACUGGGCGUAAAGCGCACGUAGGCGGAUCAGUCAGUUAGGGGUGAAAUCCCAGGGCUCAACCCUGGAACUGCCCUUGAUACUGCUGGUCUGGAGUUCGAGAGAGGCGAGUGGAAUUCCGAGUGUAGAGGUGAAAUUCGUAGAUAUUCGGAGGAACACCAGUGGCGAAGGCGGCUCGCUGGCUCGACACUGACGCUGAGGUGCGAAAGCGUGGGGAGCAAACAGGAUUAGAUACCCGUGUA
rnacentral:rRNA from 1 species